rnacentral:tRNA from 1 species
GGCGAUGUGGCUCAGUGUGAGCUCUGGCCUUGCAUGCACAAAGCCCUGGGUUCGAUCCCCAGCACCACCA